AUACGGAGGGUGCAAGCGUUAAUCGGAAUUACAGGGCGUAAAGAGUACGUAGGUGGUUUGUUAAGUCAGAUGUGAAAGCCCCGGGCUCAACCUGGGAACUGCAUUUGAAACUGGCAAACUAGAGUAUGGUAGAGGGGGGUAGAAUUUCUAGUGUAGCGGUGAAAUGCGUAGAUAUUAGAAGGAAUACCAGUGGCGAAGGCGGCCCCCUGGACCAAUACUGACACUGAGGUACGAAAGCGUGGGUAGCGAACAGGAUUAGAUACCCUAGUAGUCC
rnacentral:rRNA from 1 species